AUGAGGAGCACUUGGGAACCAAUCACACAGGAUCAGGAUAUGGAGCAGGAGACAAGAAGCGCCCGUCCACAGGGGCAUCGCAGUGAACAGCCUGGCCCGCUCCAAGUACUGCUGACGCCCAAUCAGGAGGGGGAAGAGGUCCGGCCAGCCUACCAGGAUGCAGCCCUGGGCCCUGGCCAGCCCCCUCUCUCCUACAGACCCUCCCCCAACCUCACCCCUCUCCACUCAUCCCUCCAACCCCCUCCCACCAACAACCCCGCAGCACAGGUUGAGGAGGGGAGAGACAGCCUUUUUAGCGGGGGAGAGGAGAGAGAACGGGUCAGGAGGGAGGAGGAUGUGGGGAUGAGUGAGAUGGGGGGACAGGGACUGAGGAAAGUUGAGGAAGGGGAGCGGUUGAGGAGGGGUGAGGAAAGACAGGGGGUGAGGCUGGAGGAGUUGUUACAGGUUGGGGGUGUGUGUGUGAGACCUCUAGGCAGACACCUGGCCAUCUCUCUUCCCUCUUUACCUCUCAGACUCUGGGAUAUAUCAGACACACACACUACCCCCUCACACACACAUUCACCCGCUGACCCCCAACACACACCACCCCCACCCCCACAUUCAAACACUGACUCCCCACACAUGUAUACAGACCCUGAGCCCCCACACAAACAGUCUGACCCUCCGCCCACCCCCCCCUGCAGUCAGCCCCACCCCUCCCCGCCCACCGCCUCUUCUGAUUGGCCCAAUCAAGUUUCCACCUUCAACACCAACACAAGUCAUUGGUCCUCCUGGAGCUUGGACCGCCCAGAUGCCGUGGUUACGCCAUAUGACACACCUCCAGAUCGCUGCCUCCCUAAUAAGGCACACCUCUCCCACAGAAAAUACAACUCCCAGCCUGCCCCUGCACAGCAUGAACCCUGUGACCCUGAGGAGGCAGAGUUAUCAGAGCUGGACUUCCUGUACCGGGCCAGUCUCCAGGCAGGAAGUAGAGGUGGCAGCCCGGCCGGGAGGCUGCAGUGUAGGGUAAGAGGGCCAGCCCGCUCCUUCACUCCCAACACCAGCAUGGAGGGGAGUGUGUACCAGACUGACAGCAGCAGUACAAUGGUCCGCAGUCUGAGCGGCACAGUCAUCAACCCGCGUCGCCACCGUCUCACCGCAGCACGCAGCUUUGUGAAGCAGACAGAUGUCAGUGCCUCUGCUUACUUACCUAAUCUCCUCUGAGACCCUGUAUUGUUACACCAUCAUCAUCUUCGUCAUCACCAUCUUCAUCGAGAUGCCCAAUGGCACGGGGAGUUUCUGGUGUCUGACGGGGGUGAAGCUGACUUCAGACCACUUAAGACAGUGGUCUUCAGACCACUGACGUGCCUCCAUAUGCAUCUACGCUACAGGCACCUCCCAGGGCAGCUUGCUGGGGUCCUUACCCUCUACACCGCUACAGGAAACUCGUAGGGCAGCUCUCCGGGGUCCUAACACGCCACACCGCUACAAGCACAUCCCACAUUGGACCUCUAGGGUCCUAACCCUCCACAGUUCUACCGGCACCUCCCAGGGCAGCUCUAUGGGGUCCUUACCCUCCACACCACUACGGGGACCUCCCAGGGCAUCCUUCUAGGGUCCUAACCCUCCACAGUUCUACAGGCACCCCCCAGGGCAGCUCUAUGGGGUCCUUACCCUCCACACCGCUACGGGGACCUCCCAGGGCAGCCUUCUAGGGUCCUAACCCUCCACAGUUCUACAGGCACCUCCCAGGGCAGCUCUAUGGGGUCCUUACUCUCCACACAGCUACAGGGACCUCCCAGGGCAGCUCUUUGGAGUCCUAAUAGUCCACACCACUAAAGGCACCUCCCAGGACAGCUAUUUGCAGGUUCUCACCCUCGACACCGCUAAAGGCAUCUCCCAGGGCAGACAUCCGGGGUCCUAACUCUCCACACUGCUACAGGCAUCUUCCAAAGCAGCCCUGCACCUCACCCAUCGCCACGAUAGGGGGUUGGUCUAGGACCCCCCCCAACCCCAAACACACACCUCUCCCCACAUCCGUCCCUCAGUGGUCUACUAACCUCCCUCUACCCCCAUCUCACACCCUCCGCCCUUCUUCAACUAUUCAGUCUAUGCAGUCAUUCUUAGUCCCCCUCAGCAGGAAUUACUCUGAAACCCAAAACAACAAACUCACCUAAUUACACUUCUAGCUAGCUAGCUUGCGACCUGCUAGCCUGUUAGCCUCCUAAUAUAGUCCGACUCUGAACAUUAUCCUGCUAGCCUUCCCCUCUUUGGGUCUAUAAAGGAGGGAGUAGAUUAGCUAGCCUGGUUUAGCCUAUGAUCUCCCUGCUUUAUCUGCCCCAAUCAGAGGGGCUCUGGAACCUUUAGGUGACUGAAAGAUCCACAGGGGGAGGGGGUUACCGAUAAGCCACGGCUUCUUCCUUUUUCUUUAUGGGCAUUUCCUGUCUGAUGACAGCACAGCACACCUGGAUAUGUUGUUUCCAAGGGAACCCCAGGACUAGUGCGUACGUGCCUACAUAGCUACGUAUAGACUGAACUCUAAUAAUAACUAAAGUCAUGUACAGAAAAACGAUAUAUGAAACCUGUAUGUUAUUAAGACCUUAUGGAAUGUUCAUACUAAUAAUGAUAAUAAUGAAGAUAUUGAUACUUUAGUGGUGACUCCUGGUCCUGGAUUGAGUGACCUUCACAAGUGUCCAGCUGGAGGUCACCUGACUGACCGUUGUAAUGGCUAACGCUGCUCUCCCAUUUCUAUCGGGAGAAACUACCUUCCUUUUUUUUUUUUUUUUUACAGAUAACGGUAGCUAAAUGGAACAAACUUUUGCACACCUGAUGUAACGUGAGAGAGAGAGAGAGAGAGAGAGAGAGAGAGAGAGAGAGAGCUUUGAUAGAGCGAGGUUAAGGGAACUAAAUUGUAAUUUGGGAAGUAUGUUUGCUCAAGGGUACUUAGGAAAGUGUACUAGCUGAACGGUACUUGCUGAAGUGUACUUGAUGAAGUGUACUUGAUGAAGGGUAAAUGUAAUCUAAUUUAUUUGAGGCCUCAGGUUAACAUGAUUGGUUCUUAGUUACUGAGAUUCUCUAUCUUCUUCUGGACCUUUCAGUUCAGCUCUGACCCUGAUGUUACUCAGAUAUGAAUGGUGAAACACUACAUUAUAAAUAUACUUCAUAUAUAUAUAUAUAUAUAUAUAUGUACUGUAGGUAUUAGAGAUAUAUUUUAAGGCCAUGCAAUGAUAUAUUUGUAUCAUGGCAAUGUCUCUCAUCCUCCAGUUAUAACAGGGUUAUUUCUCUGACUUACCCCUAACUGAAUAACACUGACAUGUCUUGAAAAUGUUAUGAUAUCAUUUAACCUGCUGAACAUGUUAUGACAUAUGUACAUAUAAUAUGUAUGUAUAUACAUAAUAAGUACAUACAUGUAAUACAUUAUAACUAAUCCCUAUUUGGAGACCAAUGGCCAGUGCAGAGCGAGAUCUAGACAGAACUGAUAAAUGAUUGUUGUAUCUAAACCAAAGGUUGGCACUUAGACAAAGACACAGCUCUCUCUGUCUGUCUUUAACAUUGUGAUUUAAAAAAAAAAAAUGUAUUUAUUAAUUUGAUUAUUUUGUUGCUGUUGUUUGUGUUGUGGAUGUUGGAGAAUGUAGCCAACUGUAGCGCAUGAGUCUGCUAUGCAAAUCAACCUUCCCUCCUGACCCUUGACCUCUGACCUGACAGAUAGGAUGCAGGAAGUGGACACGCCCACGAACGGACGCUUUAUUUACGAAUUUAAGUCAAGAAGAUACGUGAUUAAAUGCUGCUGUUGAACUCUGUACUAAGUCAUAGGCUCGAUCCCAAAUGGCACCCGUCUCCCUAUGUACUACACACUACUUUUGGCCAGAGCCCUACAUAGGGAAUAGGGUGUGAUUUCCGAUUCGCACCAUAUACAUACAUAGUACUGAAGUGGUUCACUAUGUAGUAAGAAGGGAUAAUGUAUACCAGGGGUAUUCAACUCUUACCCUACGAGGUCCGGAGCCUGCUGGUUUUCUGUUCUAACUGAUAAUGAAUUGCACACACCUGGUGUCCCAGGUCUAAAUCAGUCUCUGAUUAGAGGGGAACAAUGAAAAGAAACACAGUUGAACUGGCUUCUAGGUCCAGAGUUGAGUUUGAGGGCUGUAUACUAUGCUAGGAACAGUCAAUGGAAAUUCAAUGCAAAGAGAGAGUGGAAGAAAGAGCGUGAUGACGAAUGAAAGAGAGUACGUAGAGAGGAGAUAAAAUGAUGUACUGUAUGUGUGUGAAAUGGAGAUGAUGUGAGGAUGAAAGAGGGCUAGGAGUCGUUUUUAGAGAGCGAGUUGUAUGUGUUUGUGUGCAUGUAGGGUGUUUGUGUGUGUUGGUACUGGGUAUCAUUGCUUGGCGAACGAGGGAAAGAGCGAUCCUGUAUUUUUGCAAUAAAGUUAUUACCACUGCUCUCUUAAUGGGGCGUAACCACUCAUCUGACUCUGUCUUCUCAU
rnacentral:lncRNA from 1 species